CGCCUCAGUAGAACGCUAAGCGUGCAGGAGGCAGAGAGGGCCUGAGAGCAGGAACUGACAGGGAUGGAGUUGCUCUGGGAGAGGGAGAGGCAUUGAGCAAAAUACCAUUUCGAAGGCAGUGACUUCCACGCAAUGUCAUUGAAGCCACAAAGCUAGAAUUAACCUCUUCAUAGGAAUCCGAGUCUGUGCAAUGAAGUGGCUCACGGUCUCCACCACAUCUGAGAACACCUCCUUCUUUCCUGUCUCUGGGAUCACCCAAGGCCACGCCGGUGCCACGGUGGCAGGAGAGUUGGUGACGUCGUUGACCGGCAAGCAGGUCAGGGACGGGGGAAGAGCGACAUUGGUCCAGACUCCAAAGUCAGCGUUUUGCACCUAGUUUGAAUGACUCAAACUCAGAUAUGUACAAG
rnacentral:lncRNA from 12 species